UCUGCCCUUCGGUUCGGAAUAACAGUUAGAAAUAGACUGCUAAUACCGGAUGAUGACGUAAGUCCAAAGAUCUAUCGCCGAAGGAUGAGCCCGCGUAGGAUUAGGUAGUUGGUAGGGUAAUGGCCUACCAAGCCGACGAUCCUUAGCUGGUCUGAGAGGAUGAUCAGCCACACUGGGACUGAGACACGGCCCAGACUCCUACGGGAGGGCAGCAGUGGGGAAUAUUGGACAAUGGGUGAAAGCCUGAUCCAGCAAUGCCGCGUGAGUGAUGAAGGCCUUAGGGUUGUAAAGCUCUUUUACCAGGGAUGAUAAUGACAGUACCUGGAGAAUAAGCUCCGGCUAACUCCGUG
rnacentral:rRNA from 1 species